AUGAGAUACACGUCCAUUGGCAGAACUAGGUGGAGAAGAUAGCUACCUCUCUCUCUAACUCUAAAACCUUUGUAGAGAUCUCAAUCCAUUGUGUGCAGGAUCAUUCGUGAGACAAAAACCAUGACCAACUUCUCCAUGAAAUCGAAUCCAAAAGGUGAUCUGCCUUUGUUGUUUCCUCACUUUAAAGCCACAUUUCAGACUUUGGAACACUUACUUUAAGUGUGGAGUGUUUCAAUGUAACUCGAUUCCUGUAAUAUCGAGUUAUAAAGUAUACUUGAUAUCCGUAAAGUCGAGUUAUUCUCUUAUAAUUUCUGCACACCUUCUCCCACUCAGUGUGCCUUGCUCUCUGCUGAACUGAGGACGCUUUCUGCUGAACUGAGUUGGAACUCCUCCACGGAUCAACAGCGGCUUUCUUCAAACUCAAUUGAAAUUUGUAUCACCUCAGUGUCAAUGUCUGGUUCUGGCAACCCACAACUCUAUAGGCCUCAUGAUGUGUUCACUGCUAUGGGUCGUUGUUGGGUAUUGGAAGAUGAGUUCAGCUAUCCAAUCAAUCCGAAUUUGCGAAAUAGUGCUUACGUUCACAAUACCAUGAGACAGGAGUGGGCUUGGUUAUUUCGUGAACAACAAAUGUUUUAUGAUGAGUUGGUUGGUUUUAAGUUGCCAGUGCCUCGGCGACUCGCAUCACAAAUGCCCAGAGACAGCAUCGACGAACUUCGUAAAGCAUUGAACCGCAUAAGAGAAGAAAAUAAUCGAAUGAAGAUACGUCUUAAUCGAUAUCGGACCCAAGUCGAGAUUCGAGAGUCAGUGCAGGAAGGGUGGUACGAGCAUGCACAGUUCAUGCAAUCACUUCUUGUUGAUCCCAUUUAUCAGUCAGACGUGGAGAUGUCAGAUGAAGAGUAAUCGUGUCGUGUCGUGGUGUAAUUAGAUUUUGUUGGAGAACUAUUUUGCUUAACUAUGUGUUAUAUGUAUGGUUGCAUUUGUACUAUGUAAACCUUAUUAUUGAUUAUGAGAAGCAUGCAA